rnacentral:rRNA from 1 species
UCCUGACUGACCGAUAGUGAACCAGUACCGUGAGGGAAAGGCGAAAAGAACCCCGGCGAGGGGAGUGAAAAAGAACCUGAAACCGUGUACGUACAAGCAGUGGGAGCACGCUUAGGCGUGUGACUGCGUACCUUUUGUAUAAUGGGUCAGCGACUUAUAUUCUGUAGCAAGGUUAACCGAAUAGGGGAGCCGAAGGGAAACCGAGUCUUAACUGGGCGUUAAGUUGCAGGGUAUAGACCCGAAACCCGGUGAUCUAGCCAUGGGCAGGUUGAAGGUUGGGUAACACUAACUGGAGGACCGAACCGACUAAUGUUGAAAAAUUAGCGGAUGACUUGUGGCUGGGGGUGAAAGGCCAAUCAAACCGGGAGAUAGCUGGUUCUCCCCGAAAGCUAUUUAGGUAGCGCCUCGUGAAUUCAUCUCCGGGGGUAGAGCACUGUUUCGGCAAGGGGGUCAUCCCGACUUACCAACCCGAUGCAAACUGCGAAUACCGGAGAAUGUUAUCACGGGAGACACACGGCGGGUGCUAACGUCCGUCGUGAAGAGGGAAACAACCCAGACCGCCAGCUAAGGUCCCAAAGUCAUGGUUAAGUGGGAAACGAUGUGGGAAGGCCCAGACAGCCAGGAUGUUGGCUUAGAAGCAGCCAUCAUUUAAAGAAAGCGUAAUAGCUCACUGGUCGAGUCGGCCUGCGCGGAAGAUGUAACGGGGCUAAACCAUGCACCGAAGCUGCGGCAGCGACGCUUAUGCGUUGUUGGGUAGGGGAGCGUUCUGUAAGCCUGCGAAGGUGUGCUGUGAGGCAUGCUGGAGGUAUCAGAAGUGCGAAUGCUGACAUAAGUAACGAUAAAGCGGGUGAAAAGCCCGCUCGCCGGAAGACCAAGGGUUCCUGUCCAACGUUAAUCGGGGCAGGGUGAGUCGACCCCUAAGGCGAGGCCGAAAGGCGUAGUCGAUGGGAAACAGGUUAAUA